AUGCGCCGCCUCUCGCCGCCGCGGGCGGUGGCGGUGGCGGAGUCCAUCGACGCCCUCCGCUUCUCCACCUCUGCCGCAGCGGCGGCCGUUCCAUCCCCUCCUGACCUGGACCCCCCUCGCCUCGACCCCUCCGACGUCCGAUCCCACAAUGCCGCCCUCAUCGCAUAUUCUUCCAGGGGCAGUGAGGCGCCGCGCCUCGCGCACCUCCUGGCCUCCUUCGGCGCCAUGGUAAAGUCCGGUGCGCCUCCCGAUCGCUGUACCUACAACACGCUCAUCAGCGCGCACUGCAAGCUCGCUCUCCUCGCCGACGCCAGGGCCGCUCUGGCUCGGAUGCACGAGGCGGGGUUCGCGCCGGACACCUUCACCUACAACUGCCUCAUGCUCGGCCUCUGCAGGGCCGGCCUCCUCACAGCUGCGUGCGGUUUGUUCGUGCAGAUGCCACGCCGUUGGGGUGCCUACUACGACAGACACUCCUACACUAUCCUGAUCCAGGGCCUGUGUGCCGUGGGGCGCAUUGACGAUGCCUGUAGGGUGUUUACUAAAAUGUCGAGGGGCUGGUGCAAACCCGGCGUGCACACAUACACUGUGCUGCUCGAUGGGCUCUGCAAGGCUAGGCGUGUCGGGGACGCGGAGGCUUUGUUGGGUGAGAUGGUCGAUAAGGGUGUGGUGCCAAACGUCGUGACUUAUAAUGCCUUGAUUGGCGGACUUUGUCAGGAGGGGAGGUUCGAUGAUGUGACCAAGUUGUUGGAGAAAAUGGAGAUGCAGCAGCGUGCUCCAGAUUGCUGGACAUAUACCAUAGUUGUCCAUGGUCUGUGGAAGCAUGGAAAAGUGGAGCAUCGUGCCAAGGUGUUGUGUGAAGCCUUAGUGAAGGGCGUUGCUCUUGGAGUUGCCACUUACAAUGUGUUGAUUGAUGGGUAUUGUAAGGUUGGUGAUAUGAAGGCUGCUCUUGAUGUUUUGCAGUUGAUGAAGAAGAAUGGGGUCAACCCAAAUGUCCAAAUUUUUAAUGUGGUGAUCCAUGGAUUCUGUUGCGGUGGUAAAGUGCAUCAAGCGAUGGCCUUCUUGACACAAAUGGUUGGGGCUGGGUUGUCGCCGGAUACUGUUACAUUCAACUCGCUGAUAUCUGGUCAGUGUAGCGUGGGUGAAAUGAAUAUUGCUUUCCGGUUGCUUGAUUUGAUGGAGGAUUAUGGCGUUCUUCCAGAUCGACAAACUUAUGCCAUCUUUAUAGAUGCUCAUUGUGAGCAAGGUCGACUGGAGGAGGCUCAUUCUCUCUUUUCUUGUCUUCCUCAGAAAGGUAUUAAGGCACACAGCGUCAUAUAUAAUUCACUGAUUCAUGGAUAUUGCCAAGUAGGUGAUAUUGAUUCUGCUUUUGGGCUGAUGGAGAAGAUGGCUUCAGAGGACUGUAUAUCUGAUGUUCACACCUACAACGCCCUUAUUGAUGGUCUGUGCAAAGUGAAAAGAUUGGAUAGGGCUAUAGAUUUACUAGACAAGAUGAAGAAGCAGGGGAUAGAACCAACAACUUGUACAUUUAGCAUUCUGAUCAAGCAAAUGCUUUGGGACAAGAAGCAUGCAGAUGCUGCCAAGAUGUAUGAGCAAAUGAUAUCUUCUGGUUGCAAACCUGACAAACAGACAUAUACACUGAAAAUCAGUACAGACUGGUUUGAGGGUGCAAGGAAGGAAGAAAAUAUAGACGUGGCUAUUGUUGAAAUGCAUGAAGCAGGUGUUUCUCCAGAUGUGGAAACAUAUAACGCUAUCAUAAAGGCGUAUAGUGAUGCUGGCCUGAUGGAGAAAGCCUUCUUUGCACAUGUGAAGAUGCUUUCUGUCCCUAUUGAUCCAAAUUGUACAACAUAUUCGAUAUUGCUUAAUCAUAUGUGUAACAAGGAUGAUAGUGAUGCAUUUGAUAAUGAAAAAGUAUGGAAGAUGGUAGAUGUGAGAAAUCUGCAGGAGCUUUUUGAACAGAUGUGUAAAUCUGAUGCUGCUCCUGGCAUUAGCACAUACAAGGCACUGCUGAGGGGAUUGUGUAAUCAGUGUCGACUGGAGGAGGUGGAAUGGCUGUUGCUAAAAAUGCAGGGAAACAGCGUUCUGUUGGAUGAAGACAUGUCUGAUUAUCUACUUGGUUGCUAUUGUAACUUAAAGAUGUACAGGGAAGCAUGCGAGCAAUUUAGAUCGAUGGCCCAUCAGAGCUUUCAGCCAGGGCUAAAGUCAUGCUGCCUUCUCCUUUCUGGCCUUUGUGAUAGUGGAGAUCAUGGGAUGGCUGUAUCAAUUUUCAGUGAUAUACUUGGCUUAGGGUACAACUAUGAUGAGGUUGUCUGGAAACUUUUAAUUGAUUGCCUACAUGAGAAGGGGCAUACUGGGGCAUGUUUAGGGAUGCUUUCAGUGAUGGAUGAUAAAAAGUGUGUUGCUAGCACUAGGACAUAUGCAUCUUUAGUUCAUUUGUUGCUGGAAACUGAAUGA
rnacentral:rRNA from 1 species